ACUUGUUUAAUAUAAAUUAUUUAUUAUAUUUAUUUUCCACAUAAAAAAUUCUUUUAUUAAAGAAACAAGUA
rnacentral:tRNA from 1 species